rnacentral:rRNA from 1 species
GAUGAACGCUGGCGGCGUGCCUAAUACAUGCAAGUCGAGCGAACAGACGAGGAGCUUGCUCCUCUGACGUUAGCGGCGGACGGGUGAGUAACACGUGGAUAACCUACCUAUAAGACUGGGAUAACUUCGGGAAACCGGAGCUAAUACCGGAUAAUAUAUUGAACCGCAUGGUUCAAUAGUGAAAGACGGUUUUGCUGUCACUUAUAGAUGGAUCCGCGCCGCAUUAGCUAGUUGGUAAGUUAACGGCUUACCAAGGCAACGAUGCGUAGCCGACCUGAGAGGGUGAUCGCCCACACUGGAACUGAGCCACGGUCCAGACUCCUACGGGAGGCAGCAGUAGGGAAUCGUCCGCAAUGGGCGAAAGCUUGACGGAGCAACGCCGCGUGAGUGAUGAAGGUCUUCGGAUCGUAAAACUCUGUUAUUAGGGAAGAACAAAUGUGUAAGUAACUAUGCACGUCUUGACGGUACCUAAUCAGAAAGCCACGGCUAACUACGUG